rnacentral:rRNA from 1 species
GAUGAACGCUGGCGGCGUGCCUAAUACAUGCAAGUCGAGCGAACAGACGAGGAGCUUGCUCCUCUGACGUUAGCGGCGGACGGGUGAGUAACACGUGGAUAACCUACCUAUAAGACUGGGAUAACUUCGGGAAACCGGAGCUAAUACCGGAUAAUAUAUUGAACCGCAUGGUUCAAUAGUGAAAGACGGUUUUGCUGUCACUUAUAGAUGGAUCCGCGCCGCAUUAGCUAGUUGGUAAGGUAACGGCUUACCAAGGCGACGAUGCGUAGCCGACCUGAGAGGGUGAUCGGCCACACUGGAACUGAGACACGGUCCAGACUCCUACGGGAGGCAGCAGUAGGGAAUCUUCCGCAAUGGGCGAAAGCCUGACGGAGCAACGCAGCGUGAGUGAUGAAGGUCUUCGGAUCGUAAAACUCUGUUAUUAGGGAAGAACAAAUGUGUAAGUAACUAUGCACGUCUGGACGGUACCUAAUCAGAAAGCCACGGCUAACUACGU